UGCCAGCACCCCGAGUGGUCGGGACGAUUAUUGGGCCUAAAGCAUCCGUAGCCGGUUCUGCAAGUCCCCCGUUAAAUCCAGCUGCUCAACAGAUGGGCCGCGGAGGAUACUCCAGAGCUAGGAGGCAGGAGAGGCAAGCGGUACUCAGUGGGUAGGGGUAAAAUCCGUUGAUCCAUUGAAGACCACCAGUGGCGAAGGCGGCUUGCCAGAAUGCGCUAGACGGUGAGGGAUGAAAGCUGGGGGAGCAAACCGG
rnacentral:rRNA from 1 species